UACGUAGGGUGCAAGCGUUAAUCGGAAUUACUGGGCGUAAAGCGUGCGCAGGCGGUUUUAUUAGUCAGAUGUGAAAUCCCCGGGCUCAACCUGGGAACUGCAUUUGUGACUGUAGAGCUGGAGUGCGGCAGAGGGGGAUGGAAUUCCGCGUGUAGCAGUGAAAUGCGUAGAUAUGCGGAGGAACACCGAUGGCGAAGGCAAUCCCCUGGGCCUGCACUGACGCUCAUGCACGAAAGCGUGGGGAGCAAACAGG
rnacentral:rRNA from 1 species